GAAGGUGUGGCUCAGAGGUAGAGCACGUGCUUAUUUAGCACGCACGAGGUCCUGGGGGUUCAAUCCCCAGCACCUCCA
rnacentral:tRNA from 1 species